rnacentral:tRNA from 1 species
GCUUUGGGGGUUCAGUGGUAGAAUCCUCACCUUCCAUGCAAGAGACCCGGGUUCGAUUCCCGGCCAGUGUA